UGGUGGAGUGAUUUGUCUGGUUGAUUCCGUUAACGAACGAGAUCUCCGCCUACUAAAUAGUCACGCGAAUCCGUUUGGAUUGGCGGGCGACUUCUUAGAGGGACACAUGGCGUUUAGUCAUGGGAAGUUGGAGGCAAUAACA
rnacentral:rRNA from 1 species